UGUGAGGGGAAGGAGUUGGAAAGUUAAAAAAGGGGAGAUUGAUAAUGCACCCCAAAGAGCCUAUGUAUCGCUUUGAGAUCCCCAGCAUCCACCGGGAAGGGGAGGGGCAGAGUGGUCGUCCCACCCUGAAUCAGGUCCUCUUUGGAAAGAGAUUUGGGACCCACAGUCCUACCCCUAGCCCAAGCCAGGGAACCAAUACGCCCCUCGCCGCCUCUCGGACAAAAUGUCAAGUACAAGUUCAAGUCCAAGUUCAGGGCCGUGCCCCGGGGGGCGCAACUCUUUCCCGUCACCGCCUUUUGUUCUUCCUCUGACAAUCGCUCUUUAUUCCUCCUCUGGGGCUGGGCCCGGCUUCUAGCUGCUGCGGGCAAACUCUCCCUGCCCCACUGAGGCCAACCGUGAGACGUUCUUGCAGUUUAGACUCCUCCUCAGUCGCAAGGGAACGAAGGCUUUGGGGGACUAGUAGUAGCUAUCAGAAGCCCUUGGGAGAGUUUUACUCUCCUUCCCUUUUCUCCUCCCAGUUCAAUUUGGGACAAACUUUCCGUUCCAUCUUCGAGCUCCUUUCAACACACUCGGCCGCUUGGGUUCGUUUUCAGGCUCAGAUAGAUGAAAUCAUUUGUCUGAAGUUGUCUCAGAUUCUGGACUCAGAACUGGAAAAAACCCAAACCCUAAUAUGUGCCUACUAUGUUCUAGCUUGCCUUCACUUUGGAUCUUCAGCUAGACCCAAGUCCUUGGACCAAGAACUUCCUAUUCAAAUAGUGAAAGAGCUUGACAUUGUGAAUCUGACUGGUCCUUUUGCUGUAACUGAAAAUAUCCCAUGGCUCCAGGAAUGGAGGCAGAUGAAGACGAAAGUUCUAUUUAAAGAAGUCUCACGGGAUUUGAUUGUUCUUCAGAGCACUGAAGAUAGCUAUCAUGUGAAAGAAAAAAAUAGAUUUAUUUUAUUUCAUUCUAGAAACUAGAACUGGGACCAAAGAGCCAAAAUUCUCAAGCAAGAACUCAAAUAGAACUCAUUUUCGGACACCUCAGGGAUAAAGGAAUGAAGCACUCACAGCAGGGAAUUAUCUUCAUAACCUGUUGUAUCAGCAUCCUUAGGGUUCAGAGAAACAUGUACACCAUGGAGCUCCAGUGUCUGAUGUAGGAGGUUAGAGAAGGGGUCAGGUUUUUUGAUUACAAGGAAAUUGAAUUAGACAUUUUCCAAAUUACCUUCUAGCACUAAAUCUUGUGAAGUUUUUAAAAAAUUAUUUUUAUUCUGAACUUAAGUACCAAAUAAAAUGGACAUUUCCAUAUACAUAGUAAAACAAAUGUGACUGUAUAUGAAAUUGUUGAUUUGUUACACACAGCUUUCUUUUUAAAGUAUAUGAUGAGUUCAACUCAUAGCUUUCUUUCUUUUUUUUAAACCCUUCCCUUCCACCUUAAAAUCAAUACUAGGUAUUGAUUCCAAGGCAGAAGAGUGGUAAGGGACUAGGCAAUGGGGGUUAAGUGACUUGCCCAGAGUCACACAGCUAGGAAGUAUCUGAGGUCAGAUUUGAACCUAGGACCUCCUGUCUCUAGGCCUGGCUCUCAAUCUCAGCUGCUCCCCUCAACUUGUAGCUUUCAAAGCUGUCCUGAUGUCUCUGAUCCAUUCUGGCCUUCCUUCUAUUUUCAUUAAAAACUAAUUGCACUAAAUUAAAAUUUCUCUGCAUUAAAAAAAUCCUCAGUGAUUCCCUUUAAAAAAUAUAUAUAUUUCAGUACCAUCACCCUAUCCACCCUGACCCUCCUAGUGACUCCAAUGGGAAAAAAGAAUAAAAAAAUAAAGCCCUUAUAACAAAUAUAUAUAGUUGAAUUAAACAAAUUCUCACAUUGUCUGUGUCCCAAAUUGUAUGGUUUUAUGAAACUUUUUGAAGCCUCAAACCCUCAGAUAAAAUCUGGUAGGAACCAAGAAGAAAUUGAAAUAAAAAAUUGUGAAUCAUGCCCAAUAGCACAAACAAGACAACCAUUUAAUUCAAGGAUUGACAGUGCAAUAAAGGUCCAUACCAUAUAACUGAAAUUUCAUGUCUAGGAUGGCAUAAUUCCUCCAUUAAACUUUAAAUAAAAAUAUGUUCAUGGUCAACAAGAUGAGAUUAUUGGUCUAAAAGUAAGGAGUCCUCAGUGUUAAAUAACUCUUUCUUAACUUAUUAAUUGACUUAUAGUCUGGGAAGCAGUUUUGACAAGGUAAAACAGAUAAUGGUUAAAAUGACUGUCAGCCCAAGUGACUGAGAUAGGAUGAGGAAAAGCACAGUGUUUUUUAACCUAGAGUCCAUUAGCUUGUUUUAAAAAUAUAUUUUGAUAACUGUAUUUCAAUCAUUGGAUUGCUUUGCAAUUUCUUGCAUUUUCUGAAUUUAAAAAUAUUAUUCUGUUCCUUCAUUGGCAAAUGGUCGAAGGAUAAAAAUAGGCAGUUUUCAGAAAAAUAAAUCCAAGCUAACCAUAAAAUGCUCCAAAUCACUAAUAAACAGAAAUGCAAAUUAAAUCAGUGCUGAGGUUCUAUCUCACACUCAUUAUAUUGGAAAGGCUGACAAAAAAAAGGGGAAAUGCCAUUUUGCAGAGGUGAUGGGAAAAUCGAUACACUGAUAUACUAUUAUGGUGCUGUGAAUUAAUCAAUUCUGCCAUUCUGGAAAGUAACUUGAUAAACUAUACCCUAAAAGUUAUUAAACUGUAUCUUUUUGUGAUGACAAAAAACAGGAAACUAAGGUCCCCAGCAGUUGGGGAAUGGCUAGACAAAUUAUAUCAUGUAAGUAUAAAAGAAUACUAUUGUGCUACAUGAAGUUAUGAAGGGGACAGUUCAGAGAAACCUGGGAAGAUUUUUAUGAACUGAUGAGAUGAUUGAUGAAUGAAAUGAGCAGAAUCAGGAGAUCGAUUUAGAAAAUAUUACUAUACAAUUUUGUAUACAGUUCUGAAAGAUUUAAGAACUCUGAUCAAUGCAAUGCAACCACAAUUCCAGAGCACCCAUGAUAAAAAACAUGCUACCUAUCUCCUUUCAGAGAAGUGAUGGACUUAUUGUGCAGAUUAAGAUAUAGUUUUUGAAUAUGGCUGAUGCAGAAAUUAAUUUUGCUUGACUAUUGAUAUUUGUCCCGAGAGUUUUGUUUUUUCUUUGUUAUUUUCAAUUGGGUAGUAGGGGUGAGAGGAAGAGAAAAUAGGUUCUUGUUCAUUGAGAAAUAUAAAAUCAAAUAUUUAAAAA